UUCAAAGGUCUUGGAAUAAGGGGUGGGUAAGGACGGUGCCAGCCGCCGCGGUAAUACCGGCGCCUCAAGUGGUAGUCGCUUUUAUUGGGCCUAAAACGUCCGUAGCCGGUCUGGUACAUUCGUGGGUAAAUCAACCCGCUCAACGGGUUGAAUUCUGCGAGCACGGCCAGACUUGGGACCGGGAGAGGUGUGGGGUACUCUCAGGGUAGGGGUAAAAUCCUGUCAUCCUGAGAGGACCACCUGUUGCGAAGGCGCCACACUAGAACGGAUCCGACGGUCAGGGACGAAACCUAGGGGCACGAACCGGAUUAAAUACCCGGGUAGUCCUAGGUGUAAACGCUGUGGACUUGAUGUUGGGGGCGCUCCGAGCGCUCUCAGUGUCGAAGCGAAGGUGAUAAGUCCACUGCCUGGGGAGUACGGUCGCAAGGCUGAAACUUAAAGGA
rnacentral:rRNA from 1 species